rnacentral:tRNA from 1 species
GCUCUGGUAGCAUGUUGGUUAAGCGCUCGGCUUCUAACUGAAAGGUCGGCAGUUUGAACCUGCCCAGCAGCU